AGAUGGCGACCGGCGCACGGGUGAGUAACACGUAUCCAACCUGCCGAUAACUCGGGGAUAGCCUUUCGAAAGAAAGAUUAAUACCCGAUGGCAUAAUAGAACCGCAUGGUUUGAUUAUUAAGGAAUUUCGGUUAUCGAUGGGGAUGCGUUCCAUUAGGCAGUUGGUGGGGUAACGGCCCACCAAACCUUCGAUGGAUAGGGGUUCUGAGAGGAAGGUCCCCCACAUUGGAACUGAGACACGGUCCAA
rnacentral:rRNA from 1 species